UUAGCGGCGGACGGGUGAGUAACACGUGGGCAACCUACCUUAUAGUUUGGGAUAACUCCGGGAAACCGGGGCUAAUACCGAAUAAUCUGUUUCACCUCAUGGUGAAACACUGAAAGACGGUUUCGGCUGUCGCUAUAGGAUGGGCCCGCGGCGCAUUAGCUAGUUGGUGAGGUAACGGCUCACCAAGGCGACGAUGCGUAGCCGACCUGAGAGGGUGAUCGGCCACACUGGGACUGAGACACGGCCCAGACUCCUACGGGAGGCAGCAGUAGGGAAUCUUCCACAAUGGGCGAAAGCCUGAUGGAGCAACGCCGCGUGAGUGAAGAAGGAUUUCGGUUCGUAAAACUCUGUUGUAAGGGAAGAACAAGUACAGUAGUAACUGGCUGUACCUUGACGGUACCUUAUUAGAAAGCCACGGCUAACUACGUGCCAGCAGCCGCGGUAAUACGUAGGUGGCAAGCGUUGUCCGGAAUUAUUGGGCGUAAAGCGCGCGCAGGUGGUUUCUUAAGU
rnacentral:rRNA from 1 species